CUUGACCAACAUUGUAUAACAAAUUUAUAAGAUCCUCAGGUAGAUCAACUUAACUCUAAUAGUGAUAUGAGCUAACUAACAAAUACACAAGGCAACGUCAAGUUAAAGCUAAUAACUUAAGCACAUACAUAGAAUCUGGACAAUAGCACAGUAGUCACUUGUUUUAGCUAUAACUAGAGAUAUAAGCAUCUAAUAAGGGUGAUCCUAGAAUUUCUGUAAAUUUAACAAAAUUAUCUAAAACUUUGUUAUUCACACUAAAAUCUGAUUCAACAAAUAACAAGGUGAAAGCACACCAAUAAGCAGAUUGGUACAAACAAGGAUAGAAAACUGAUAUGAACUUCAGAGAGUAAUAAGUUGAGUUCUAGCUUUCACAACAAGGUGGUUCUAGACUUUUUAGAAAGCUUAGCAAACCACACACAACUUGUUAUAAACACCACAAGCUAAAACCAAAGUUAACUAGGUCAAACAUCACAAAGAAGAUAUCUCUAUCCAAAUUAGGACAGAUUCUGUUAUUCCACUUCACAAGCUCAUAACUGGAGAUUUAGACCAUCAAAAGGGGUGAUCUUCAACAAUUUGGAAGUCUCAUGAAAAACCUCACACUUCUUCUAUUAUCUACAAGAAAUGAUUCAAAGCUUAGCUAAGUUAAACAACACAAUCAUUAAGACCUAUACAUAGAGCACGCAAAACCUGACGAUGAACUUGUAAAAUCUAUAGAUCCUAAACCAUUAGGCUUAUGGUCAUGAAAAU
rnacentral:lncRNA from 1 species